AUACAUUCUAUUGUUUCCUGCCGUUUAACCUCUUUUGCAAUUAACAAGAAAAUUUUAGAUGACAGAAAUCGUUACAUUGAAAAGUGGUUGAGAUAAAAUCAAUUAAAUAAAUAAAUUAAUUAAUUAUCUCUAUAGGUAGCACACCUGACGGCAGGUUGAUGACUGCCGUAGAACAGGUCGAUGGCGAACCACCAACUGCAUUGCAGGCUUAGAAUAUUACCCGAUUAAUUCACAAUGUCUUUGCCUAAAUGUAACGCGUUAAACAUUGAAAUUCAGAUUAACUUGCGAGGUCUAGAUAUAUUUAGUUCGUUUCAAAAGCUUUGAGGGCUUGAUAAUGAUUUUAAUA